rnacentral:rRNA from 1 species
UACGAAGGGUGCAAGCGUUACUCGGAAUUACUGGGCGUAAAGCGUGCGUAGGUGGUUUGUUAAGUCUGUUGUGAAAGCCCCGGGCUCAACCUGGGAAUGGCAAUGGAUACUGGCAGGCUAGAGUGCGGUAGAGGGUAGUGGAAUUCCCGGUGUAGCGGUGAAAUGCGUAGAGAUCGGGAGGAACACCAGUGGCGAAGGCGGCUACCUGGACCAGCACUGACACUGGAGG